GAUGAACGCUGGCGGCGUGCCUAAUACAUGCAAGUCGAGCGAAGCGGGGACGGGUGAGUAACACGUGGAUAACCUCCUAUAAGACUGGGAUAACUUCGGGAAAGCGGAGCUAAACCGGAUACUAAUAGAUGGAGCCGCGCUGCAUUAGCUAGUUGGUAAGGUACCGGCUUACCAAGGCAACGAUGCAUAGCCGACCUGAGAGGGUGAUCGGCCACACUGGAACUGAGACACGGCCCAGACUCCUACGGGAGGCAGCAGUGGGGAAUCUUCCGCAAUGGGCGAAAGCCUGACGGAGCAACGCCGCGUGAGUGAUGAAGGUCUUCGGAUCGUAAAGCUCUGUUAUUAGGGAAGCGGUACCUAAACAGAAAGCCACGGCUAACUACGUGCCAGCAGCCGCGGUAAUUC
rnacentral:rRNA from 1 species